rnacentral:tRNA from 1 species
UAUAUUUUAGUAUAUAUGUACAAAGAAUUUUGAUUUCUUAGGUGAAGUUUAGACUUUAAAUAUAA